AAGGUCGGGAGGCAUUUGAUGUGGUGUUUCAUCCGUAUGGUGAUCGACAAGACAGCUUCUACGACUGAAGCUGUUCCUAGGGCUAAGACUGCUUUUGAGGUAUGAUGAAAGCAUCAAGAGAAGAAGGUCAGCAGGAGUGGAUGUUUCCAGCCUACGCCGGGACUGGGAGCACACAACAAUGUAGCAAUAACAACACAGGGCAGUGACAUGCACUUCACCAGUAGCACAGUACUACUAUUCAGCCAGACUGAAGUCAGGGGUGAUGAAGACGAUGCUGCCUUUGGUGUGCUGGAACUGUGGUGAGGAGGAAACGCUGCCCAUACUGGCAGAGAAGACUGCUGCAUACCAGACAAUAAACCCUGUUUGUCAGGUAGGCAUACAUUUGUUACCUACUUAAAUACAUUACGCAACUUAUGUAGAAUAGCUCUAAACAUAUUUUGUUUGGUUCCACCUUUAUUGAUAUUCUUUCUCAAACGCUCCUAUAGACUAUUUGCAUAGGUAGAAAUGUAGUAAUGCAUGCAAAGGGUUAAUCAGCAACUAAUUUUGCCUUUUAUGCUUUGUUUCUGCAGGUCUGCAAAAUGUGAU